rnacentral:piRNA from 1 species
UACAUGCAGGCAAAACACUCAUACCCACAA